GGAGCCUGCGGUUUAAUCGGACUCAACGCCGGGAAACUCACCAGAUAAGACAGCUGAAUGAUAGUCGGGCUGAAGACUCUACUUGACUAGCUGAGAGGAGGUGCAUGGCCGUCGUCAGUUCGUACUGUGAAGCAUCCUGUUAAGUCAGGCAACGAGCGAGACCCACGCCAACAGUUGCCAGCUCGUCCUCCGGGAUGGUGGGGACACUGUUGGGACCGCCUCUGCUAAAGAGGAGGAAGGAAUGGGCAACGGUAGGUCAGCAUGCCCCGAAUUAUCUGGGCUACACGCGGGCUACAAUGGGUGGGACAAUGGGUAUCGACACCGAAAGGUGAAGGCAAUCUCCUAAACCCAUCCGUAGUUCGGAUUGUGGGCUGCAACUCGCCCACAUGAAGCUGGAAUCUGUAGUAAUCGUGUCUCAAAAUGGCACGGUGAAUAUGUCCCUACUCCUU
rnacentral:rRNA from 1 species